rnacentral:misc_RNA from 1 species
AAGGAGACAACAUUGUCGUUCUUUCUUCUUUUGUAUGUGUUCUGCGCAUGGACCUUGGAAACUAUAUAGUAGAUCAAAACAGACAAGAAAACAAAAAAUAACUCUAGUUUCUAGAGUUAGUCUGUCAAAGAAAAAGAUUAAAUGUAAAUAAGGGUCAUCAUCAAGGGAUGUCCUAGGUAGUGAGAGCCGAAGAAGGACGUUG